UUCUCCUCAGGUCAGUGAUCGUCUCACCUAUCUGGAGCAGCGAGUGCAGAUGCAGGAGGACGAGAUCCAGCUGCUGAAGAUGGCCAUCGCAGACGUGCUGAAGAGACUCAACAUCUCAGAGGAGCACACACACGGCAGAGCUGCAGACUCAGCAGUGCGUCCAGUGUCUCUCUCUCUGACCCCGAGAGCAUCAGUAUCGUCUCUGAGGAAGAGCUCCAGCUCCACACUGCCCUCCUCAGCCUCAUCCAGGAACUACAGCCCGUCCACAACAGCAGCAAAGAGAACUGCUGCUGGAUCCUCCAGAGAGCCCCCGAACAGUAAAGCUAAGAGCAGCAGCAGCAGGAAACCACCGGAGAG